rnacentral:rRNA from 1 species
AUUGAACGCUGGCGGCAUGCUUUACACAUGCAAGUCGAACGGUAACAGGCCUUCGGGUGCUGACGAGUGGCGAACGGGUGCGUAAUGCAUCGGAACGUACCCAGAGGUGGGGGAUAACGCAGCGAAAGCUGUGCUAAUACCGCAUGUGAUCUGAGGAUGAAAGCGGGGGACCGAGCAGCAAUGUUUGGCCUCGCGCCUUUGGAGCGGCCGAUGUCGGAUUAGCUAGUUGGUGGGGUAAAGGCCUACCAAGGCGGCGAUCCGUAGCUGGUCUGAGAGGACGACCAGCCACACUGGGACUGGGACACGGCCAAGACUCCUACGGGAGGAAGCAGAGGGGAAUUUUGGACAAUGGGCGAAGGCCUGAUGCAGCAAGGCGGCGUGCGGGAAGAAGGCCUUGGGGUUGUAAACCGUUUUUGGCAGGAACGAAACGGUGUCCGCUAAUACCGGGCGCUAAUGACGGUACCUGCAGAGUAAGCACCGGCUAACUACGUG